GAUGAACGCUGGCGGCGUGCCUAAUACAUGCAAGUCGAGCGAACAGACGAGGAGCUUGCUCCUCUGACGUUAGCGGCGGACGGGUGAGUAACACGUGGAUAACCUACCUAUAAGACUGGGAUAACUUCGGGAAACCGGAGCUAAUACCGGAUAAUAUAUUGAACCGCAUGGUUCAAUAGUGAAAGACGGUUUUGCUGUCACUUAUAGAUGGAUCCGCGCCGCAUUAGCUAGUUGGUAAGGUAACGGCUUACCAAGGCAACGAUGCGUAGCCGACCUGAGAGGGUGAUGGCCCACAGGGAAACAAAAACGGGAUCGACCCUCAAAGGGGAGGGGGAGGGGGGGAAUCUUCCGAAGAGGGGGAAAGCCGGAGGGAGCAGCGCCGGGGGGGAGAAAAAGGUGUGCGAAUAUAAAAAUUUUUUAAUUGGGGAAAAAAAAAUGUGAAAUAAACAAUCAACGUUUGGGGGUAACCAAAUAGGAAGCCCGGGCCAAGGUCGGCC
rnacentral:rRNA from 1 species